UACAGAGGUCUCAAGCGUUGUUCGGAUUCAUUGGGCGUAAAGGGUGCGUAGGUGGCGCCGUAAGUCAGGUGUGAAAUUUCGGAGCUUAACUCCGAAACUGCAUUUGAUACUGCGGUGCUUGAGGACUGGAGAGGAGACUGGAAUUUACGGUGUAGCAGUGAAAUGCGUAGAGAUCGUAAGGAAGACCAGUGGCGAAGGCGGGUCUCUGGACAGUUCCUGACACUGAGGCA
rnacentral:rRNA from 1 species